UGGGGAAUCUUGCGCAAUGCGCGAAAGCGUGACGCAGCAACGCCGCGUGGGGGAAGAAGGCCUUCGGGUUGUAAACCCCUUUCAGUUGGGACGAAGCUUCAACGGUUAAUAGCCGUUCGGAGUGACGGUACCUUCACAAGAAGCCCCGGCUAACUACGUGCCAGCAGCCGCGGUAAUACGUAGGGGGCUAGCGUUGUCCGGAAUCAUUGGGCGUAAAGAGCGUGUAGGCGGCCCGGUAAGUCCGCUGUGAAAGUCGGGGGCUCAACCCUCGAAUGCCGGUGGAUACUGUCGGGCUAGAGUGCGGAAGAGGCGAGUGGAAUUCCUGGUGUAGCGGUGAAAUGCGCAGAUAUCAGGAGGAACACCGAUUGCGAAGGCAGCUCGCUGGGACGUAACUGACGCUGAGACGCGAAAGCGUGGGGAGCAAACAGG
rnacentral:rRNA from 1 species